rnacentral:misc_RNA from 1 species
UCAAACUUGGUCAUUUAGAGGAAGUAAAAGUCGUAACAAGGUUUCCGUAGGUGAACCUGCGGAAGGAUCAUUAACGUGUACGCCGCCCGCCCGCGGGCCGUCACACCCCCUGCGUCCCUCCGGUUGCUUCGGCGAGGCCUCCUCGCCGACAGACCCCCCAACGCUGGCUUUUGAGAUGUCCGAGCCUGAAUUCAAUCAGAAAACUUUCAACGAUGGAUCUCUUGGUUCCAGGAUCGAUGAAGAACGCAGC